UCACUUGUCUAUUCCGGAGGGGAUAUAAGUAUUUGCACCGCGUAGAGGUUCAAAUCCUACGCGAGGCGU
rnacentral:tRNA from 1 species